CUACGGGUGGCUCCAGUGGGGAAUAUUGCACAAUGGGCGCAAGCCUGAUGCAGCCAUGCCGCGUGUAUGAAGAAGGCCUUCGGGUUGUAAAGUACUUUCAGCGGGGAGGAAGGGAGUAAAGUUAAUACCUUUGCUCAUUGACGUUACCCGCAGAAGAAGCACCGGCUAAUCCGUGCCAGCAGCCGCGGUAAUACGGAGGGUGCAAGCGUUAAUCGGAAUUACUGGGCGUAAAGCGCACGCAGGCGGUUUGUUAAGUCAGAUGUGAAAUCCCCGGGCUCAACCUGGGGACUGCAUCUGAUACUGGCAAGCUUGAGUCUCGUAGAGGGGGGUAGAAUUCCAGGUGUAGCGGUGAAAUGCGUAGAGAUCUGGAGGAAUACCGGUGGCGAAGGCGGCCCCCUGGACGAAGACUGACGCUCAGGUGCGAAAGCGUGGGGAGCAAACAGGAUUAGAUACCCGAGUAGUC
rnacentral:rRNA from 1 species